GAGGGAAGGGAGAGCUUUCACUGGGGAGUCCCGGUGGGAGUGAGGGCUAUCACAAAUUUGCUGUUUUGAGCGUGGUUUGAGAUCUGGCAGAGCAGAGGAGCUUUAAUCCCUUGGCUCAGAGCAAGAGCCAUCGACUCGUGGAGCCAGCCCCAGUCAGGUUCUCAUAUGCAUGAGAAUUACUUGAUAACCUGAAUUUCCCUGUGGCUUAUUUGUCUGUGAAGGAGCUGGUCUGGAGAGCACAGGUUCAUCCAGAAUUGUCUGUUUUGCUUGGUGGGACAUUUGUUCCCUCCCAGAGCUGGAAUAGUCUGUCCCCAUUUGAUUCACUGAAGAAAAUGAAAUGCAAAAUAAGCAGGGAAAGGGAAGCUGCAAUGAUGAAAUGUGAGAUAUUUGUUAAUGUGCAUCAUGUCCCUGUUCAGAGCCUCCAAAUGGGGCCCUAAAAUUUGUCUUCAUGCUCCAGUCAGUGUUCCCUCCUUCCUAAGGAACGACAGCAUCUCUGCCAGCAGCACAAAAUGAGGUCACUCCAGCUCUGGGAAUGUGGCGGUGGAUGUUUGGGCUCUGUCAGCCAUGCUGCAGUGACUCUGAAAAAGCCUUCUCCAAGAUGAGACAAAGCCCUGAUGGCUCAAACUCCUCCUGAAGCCUGAAACUGCUGACACCCCAGGAGCCUCUGGAUGGAGAACACCGGGAUGGAGCACAGGCUGUGCGAGCUCCCAAAGCGGUGCUGGCUCCUGUGGGCGCUGCUCCUGGUGAUUUCCAGGAUGAAAUCCUCCCUCCCUCCCUCCCUUUGCCAAGUGCAGCCCUGGUGAAAUCCUCGCCGCCCUGGCUCGCUCCAGCCCUGCCUCCUGCCACGGAUCCGGUGGUUAGCGCUCCCCUGGCCGCUGCCAGCUGGGAUGGAUGGAAGGAUGGAUGGAUGGAAGGAUUCCAGGGGUUCCUGUGCUCCUGCCAGCUCGCCAGGCCGUUGCUGAGGUAGGGCAGCAUCCCGAGCUGAGCUGCAGGGCAGUGCUGGCGCUGCCCCCGAGCUUCUCCUGGCCUGGCUUUGUUCAUCCUGCCUCUGGGCUGCAAAACAGACACGGCUCGGAGAAGCAGAAUGGAAUGGCUGCAGCGCAGAGGAGAUGGUGGAAGUUUCCAGCACCUCCAUCCCUGGCAGUGCCCAAGGCCAGGUUGGACAUUGGGGUUGGAGCACCUGGGACACUGGAGGUGUCCCUGCUCACGGCUGUGGCACUGGGUGGGAUUUAAGGUGCUUCCAACCCAAACCAUUCUGGGGUUCUGUGAGUCUGUGAAAUCAAGAGCUGCAGGUUGUUGAGCUUUCUGGCACUUCCUUUGUGUCCUUUCCUUUCCUGUUUUGCUGCAGAGAGGAUGGAGGCUCCAGCGAGGCCGUCACUCAGCCAUUUGCACACACUUGGAAUUAUUUCGGAAAAUGUCUGGGCUCUGAGACACAAACCCAACAGACUGAGAGCCUGUGGGACAUGAAACGAAUCUGGAGCCCCUGAGCUGCCAGCACCCCGCACUCUGCCCGCAGGGAGCAGCCAGAAAUGCUUUGUUCCUCAGUUUCCCCACCAGGAAUUAGAAGCAUUCCUCAACUUAUAAGUUAAUUUUCAUUGUUCACAAGACAGGGAUAAUUUUUAAGUUCAUUUCCUUCAGUGCAGACACUGGGCUCAAGUUUGAGGGCUCCUGAAGUGAGUCCUAAAUGGGGAAUUAGUGCAAUAAAUGGAUUGUUUUAAUGCUGAUAGAGGUUCUGGCUCCUCUGGGCUGUCAGAAAGUGCAGUGAUGGAGUCACUUUACCCUUUCCUAGCGCUGUGAUGAAUUCUGGAUCAAAUGCUGCUGCGUUUGGAUCUCUAGCAGCUCUCACUGGAGGAAGGAGGGUGGGGAAAUGUUCCAUUUUGAAUUUGUUAUUCCUCGGGCUCCGUGCAGCCCUGCUUCCCUCCCGGGUUUUGUGGGAGAGGGGGACGAGCUGCUGCAGGAUCCGGUGUGAUUAACGCCCUGCAGGAGCCUGAUGCCUCUGGAAUUAGCCAUGUUUGAAGGGUCUGACACGGCAGAUAACUCCUCCCUGCUGCCCCUGCCCUGGCUACACCAGGUUCAGACUUGCUGAUGCUCCUGAGAGCUGUCCCAGCCCCAGCUGCAGAGCUGAGGCCCAGAGAUGGUGGGGAUAAGGUAAAUAACCUCUCUGGCCACGGGCAGUUUAUCUAAAUGAAAAACCCAGCUCCAGGCCCCUCGGAAUCUCUGCCAUCGCUCCUGCGAAAGCCCGUAUUUAACAAAGAAUAUGAAAUGUUGGAGUUUUCAAUUUCAAAAAGCGGGUGCAAGUACUUCAGAUUAAAAAAAAAAAAAAAAAAAAAGUAAAAAAUUAGAUGGUAGAUUGUUUAAAAAAAAUAAAUGCUUCAGUGUCCAAAAAUGACAGAGUGCAAAAUCCCACAUUUUCAUUCAGAGCAAACAAAACCAAUCAAGGCCUUUCAGAGGAUUUGAAAGGAAGGGACCCACCAGGAGCCCUGAGUCCAACUCAGCCUGCUCAGAACCGGCUCUGGAGUUCCACCAGUGCCUUUGUGGUGGGAAAUGUCAGCAAUGCCAUCAAAGCUGUUAAUUCCCAGCUCCCCAUUUUCCCUGGGAUGCUCCUGAAUUUCCCUUUUCCCCACGGCAGCAGCAGGGUGCUUCAGGUGCCCACGGCUCCCACCAGGGAAAUAAUUAAAGCAUGGAUUUUUACCUUGAAUCAAACUUCUGUUAUUUCCAGACUUGUCUGGGGCAUAAAUUGGAAAUCAAACCCGCAACCCCUUUCCGUCCUUGCUGAAAGGCUCCAUUUAGUCAAGGCUGGGAAUUAAUUUUUCUAUUAAAUGAAUGCUUUCUUAAAACGAAGGGGGAAAAUGUUUUCAGUGAUAAGAUUGUUCUGUGAACCAUCCCUAAUGAGCUGCUGUGUCAUUCCCUUCUGCCUCCUAUUUAUCUUGUUUAGAUCCCUUCAGUUUGAACUGUUCCGCUCCUUU